AUGAAGACAGGCAACGAUCAGUGCCACUUUUGUUCGAGUAAAGAGACCAUGAAUCAUCUGGUGUUUGGUUGUGCGCUGGCCAGACUUGUGUGGCAGGUUGUCAUGUGUGCUUUUGGUCUCACUAGAUCAUCUGGUAGCGUUGAAGAUCUGUUUGGAACCUGGGUUGACUCUUUUCCAGGUUCCCAGCGAAAGCUACUGCUCUGUGGGAGCGCUGCUGCUGUGUGCUAUACCAUAUGGGAAACCAGGAAUACAGCCUGCUUUAGGCAGCAAUUCCCAAAUGACCCUGUUGCUAUGAUUUCAAAUCUUUGCAGUAACCUUGAUGCUUGCACCACUUUGCAGAAAUAACAAAGCCAAAGAGAACUCAAGGGAGGAAUUCGGAUGCUGAAGAUGGUCGUUAAGGAAGCUUAUGCUCGAAGACAUGGAUGGGCGCCUGUGGUUUGGAGGUUCCAAAGUUGCAGUUCUUUCUUUCUGUGGACUGUGGAGAUGUUUUGCGUAUGGGCAGGUUCCUGUAAUAAGUAG
rnacentral:rRNA from 1 species